UGUUUUUAGCUUUUUUGAGUGUUUGGCUGGCUAACUUAAAGUCAUUUUGUGCUUAAAAUAAGCUCAAAAAAAUAAUUGGGCCCAUUUGACUUAGCUUAUUUAAAGCAGUUUAUAAGCUAAAAAAAAAAAUUAGACUACCUCAACUUAUAUUUUUAACUUAUAAGUUGUUUGCAGCUUAUAGGCACAUAAGCCCAUCCAAACAUGCUCUAUGUCUCUUAACACUUGUAUAAAAGGAAUCAGAUUCAGAUCUAAUUUGUGUGCAACAAGAACAACUAGUUGGGUUAUAAGUCAAGAGUUAGAGCAGAAAAAGAAGAUGGUAGUUUGUUGGCAACUGGGGCCCCAAAAUUGGUGUCGACUAUCCCUUCCUAUUGGCCUGCGCCGUGCCCAAUCAAACUACACCACAUAUGUUGAGAUGGAGGGAGUAUGUGCUUGUUUUCUUUGCAUAAAAACAGUUAUGGCUUAGCUUCAUGGAGCAAAACAAGGCGGCAGACCUUUUGGCCAAGGAAGGAGGGAAGCAGCAGAUUUUUGAGGAAAUGAAAAUAUUAGAAGUACCUCCUAAUUUUGUAAUAAAUGUGGGACUGUCUUUGAAAGGUCUGUACCUUUUUGUGCCACUCAUGGGGGUGAUUCUUUUGGACAACUAAAUGGCUCUCAUGCCAUAAAAGCUGAUGUAACUAGUAUGUAGGUAUUUAAUAUAUCAGUAGUAUCUGUUUAACAAAAAAAAAAAGUCUUUUUUUUUGCUGCAUUUGGAGUUAAUACCUUGUAAUUUUGUAUAAUCCCAGAGAUGAGAACAAAUCUCAACAGCAUCUGAUUCUUGCUAUUGUGCUCUUUCUUUAUCAAUGUGAAACUUACAAAUUCAAUC